UGGGGAAUAUUGCACAAUGGAGGGAACUCUGAUGCAGCGACGCCGCGUGAACGAAGAAGGCUUUCGAGUCGUAAAGUUCUUUUAUAUGGGAAGAUAAUGACGGUACCAUAAGAAAAAGCCCCGGCUAACUACGUGCCAGCAGCCGCGGUAAUACGUAGGGGGCUAGCGUUGUCCGGAAUCACUGGGCGUAAAGGGUUCGCAGGCGGAAAUGCAAGUCAGGUGUAAAAGGCAGUAGCUUAACUACUGUAAGCAUUUGAAACUGCAUAUCUUGAGAAGAGUAGAGGUAAGUGGAAUUUUUAGUGUAGCGGUGAAAUGCUUAGAUAUUAAAAAGAAUACCGGUGGCGAAGGCGACUUACUGGGCUCAUUCUGACGCUGAGGAACGAAAGCGUGGGUAGCAAACAGG
rnacentral:rRNA from 2 species